rnacentral:misc_RNA from 1 species
UAAAAUCAAUCCCCACGGGUUUCUUGACCCGGCGGUGGACUUGGACUUGGGUGUCUGCCGUUCACGCGGCUCGCCUUAAAGAUGUUAGUGGGACAAGUUGCCUACGGCUUGACGUAAUAAGUUUCGUCAGACCCGGUGUCUUAUGCCCGCUCACAACCCUCCUUUCAUGGAACCCCUUUAU